rnacentral:rRNA from 1 species
UACAGAGGUGGCAAGCGUUGUUCGGAAUUACUGGGCGUAAAGCGUGCGCAGGCGGUUGUGCAAGACAGAUGUGAAAUCCCCGGGCUCAACCUGGGAACUGCAUUUGUGACUGCACGGCUGGAGUGCGGCAGAGGGGGAUGGAAUUCCGCGUGUAGCAGUGAAAUGCGUAGAUAUGCGGAGGAACACCGAUGGCGAAGGCAAUCCCCUGGGCCUGCACUGACGCUCAUGCACGAAAGCGUGGGGAGCAAACAGG